GGGAAACUCACCAGGUCCAGACACAAAAAGGAUUGACAGAUUGAUAGCUCUUUCUUGAUCUUGUGGUUGGUGGUGCAUGGCCGUUCUUAGUUGGUGGAGUGAUUUGUCUGGUUAAUUCCGAUAACGAACGAGACCUUAACCUGCUAAAUAGACCCUCCGGCUUUGGCUGGAGGCUGUCUUCUUAGAGGGACUAUCAGCGUUUAGCUGAUGGAAGUUUGAGCCAAUAA
rnacentral:rRNA from 1 species